rnacentral:lncRNA from 1 species
GAAAUCUGUCCUUUGAUCUGAUUAGUCCAAAUUGGAGAUUUUUGGUUCCAACUGCCAUGUCUUUGUGAGACGCAGAGUAGGUGAACGGAUGAACUCCACAUGUGUGGUUACCACCGUGAGGUGUGAUGGUGUGGAGGUGCUUUGCUGGUGACACUGUUGGUGAUUUAUUUAGAAUUCAAGGCACACUUAACCAGCAUGGCUACCACAGCAUUCUGCAGCGAUACGCUAUCCCAUCUGGUUUGGCGCUUAGUGGGACUAUCAUUUGUUUUUCGACAGGACAAUGACCCAACACACCUCCAGGCCCUGUAAAGGAUAUUUGACCAAGAAGUGGGCCCAGCUUUACAGAGAAGCACACGCAGAAACCAAGACGUGCCUGUCCCACUUCAUGUCCUGACAACCCUCGGAUUUCUGGAAACCGGCACUUUUCGAAGGGAAUUGGCUGACAGGUCAGGGAUCUCUCAGCCAACCUUUAGCUGCGUUAUGCCAGAUGUGUUAAGUGUUAUAAUUGGAUUGACGCAUCUCCACAUAAAGUUUCCUUACACGGUAGGUGAACAGGCAAAUAAAAAAGUGCAAUUUGCAGCAAUGUCCGGUUUCCCAAAUGUAAUUGGUGCUAUUGACUGCACUCAUGUUGCUAUAAGGGCACAGAGUGAGAAUGAAUUUGCUUUCAUUAAUUGAAAGCAUUAUCAUUCCAUUAAUGUCCAAAUCAUAUUUCAUGUAGACAUGAUACUGACUAAUGUAGUGGCUCGGUGGCCUUGGUCAACCCAUGACUCAAUCAUAUGAAGAAACAACAGUGUUGGGAGCAGACUUGAGGCCGUAGCUGUGCGUGAUGGCUUGCUUCUAGAGCGUAGAGAAUAGGAACUACAAUGUGCGCCAUUGCAAGGUACGCGCUGCUGUGGAGUGCACCAUCGGGCUUCUGAAGGGCAGAUUCCUCAGGCAGAAAUAUUUUAUACAAGCGUGAAAAGGUCUGCAACAUUGUGAGGGUGUGUGCUAUGCUACAUAAUGUGGCACAGCUAAGGAAUGUGGCUUUAACCCCUGACGCUGUUGGUUGUGUUGGCCCCGACGCUGACCCCUAUCCCCAGGCGUUUGACCAAACGCAGCUGCCGUGCACCAGCGAGUG